GGCUCAGGACGAACGCUGGCGGCGUGCUUAACACAUGCAAGUCGAACGAUGAAGCCCUUCGGGGUGGAUUAGUGGCGAACGGGUGAGUAACACGUGGGCAAUCUGCCCUUCACUCUGGGACAAGCCCUGGAAACGGGGUCUAAUACCGGAUAACACCGGCUCCUGCAUGGGGGCUGGUUAAAAGCUCCGGCGGUGAAGGAUGAGCCCGCGGCCUAUCAGCUUGUUGGUGGGGUAAUGGCCUACCAAGGCGACGACGGGUAGCCGGCCUGAGAGGGCGACCGGCCACACUGGGACUGAGACACGGCCCAGACUCCUACGGGAGGCAGCAGUGGGGAAUAUUGCACAAUGGGCGAAAGCCUGAUGCAGCGACGCCGCGUGAGGGAUGACGGCCUUCGGGUUGUAAACCUCUUCAGCAG
rnacentral:rRNA from 1 species